rnacentral:rRNA from 1 species
CAACCUGCCCUUCAGAGGGGGACAACAGUUGGAAACGACUGCUAAUACCGCAUACGAUCCAAUCUCGGCAUCGAGAAUGGAUGAAAGGUGGCCUCUAUUUAUAAGCUAUCACUGAAGGAGGGGAUUGCGUCUGAUUAGCUAGUUGGAGGGGUAACGGCCCACCAAGGCGAUGAUCAGUAGCCGGUCUGAGAGGAUGAACGGCCACAUUGGGACUGAGACACGGCCCAGACUCCUACGGGAGGCAGCAU